rnacentral:rRNA from 1 species
GGGUGACAGGUGGUGCAUGGUUGUCGGUCAGCUCGUGUCGUGAGAUGUUGGGUUAAGUCCCGCAACGAGCGCAACCCUCGCCUCUAGUUGCCAGCAUUCGGUUGGGCACUCUAGAGGGACUGCCGGCGACAAGUCGGAGGAAGGUGGGGGAUGACGUCAAAUCAUCAUGCCCCUUAUGACCUGGGCUACACACGUGCUACAAUGGGCGGUACAAAGGGUCGCGAACCCGCGAGGGGGAGCCAAUCCCAAAAAGCCGCUCUCAGUUCGGAUUGCAGGCUGCAACUCGCCUGCAUGAAGCCGGAAUCGCUAGUAAUCGCGGAUCAGCAUGCCGCGGUGAAUACGUUCCCGGGCCUU